rnacentral:tRNA from 1 species
CCCCGGCAGUCCAGUGGUUAAGACUCUGCCCUUCCAAUGCAGAGAACGAGGGUUCGAUCCCUUGUCAGGGG